ensembl:snRNA U6 U6 spliceosomal RNA
GUGUUUGCUUUGGCAGCACAGAUACUAAAAUUGGAACAGUGCAGAGAUUAGCAUGGCCCCUGCACAAGGGUGACACACAAAUUCAUGAAUCGUUCCAUAGUGUU